rnacentral:rRNA from 1 species
AGAGUUUGAUCCUGGCUCAGGAUGAACGCUGGCGGCGUGCUUAACACAUGCAAGUCGAACGAAGCACUUUAUUUGAUUUCCUUCGGGACUGAUUAUUUUGUGACUGAGUGGCGGACGGGUGAGUAACGCGUGGGUAACCUGCCUUGUACAGGGGGAUAACAGCUGGAAACGGCUGCUAAUACCGCAUAAGCGCACGAGGAGACAUCUCCUUGUGUGAAAAACUCCGGUGGUACAGGAUGGGCCCGCGUCUGAUUAGCUGGUUGGCAGGGUAACGGCCUACCAAGGCAACGAUCAGUAGCCGGUCUGAGAGGAUGAACGGCCACAUUGGAACUGAGACACGGUCCAAACUCCUACGGGAGGCAGCAGUGGGGAAUAUUGCACAAUGGGGGAAACCCUGAUGCAGCAACGCCGCGUGAGUGAAGAAGUAUUUCGGUAUGUAAACUUCUAUCAGCAGGGAAGAUAGUGACGGUACCUGACUAAGAAGCCCCGGCUAACUACGUGCCAGCAGCCGCGGUAAUACGUAGGGGGCAAGCGUUAUCCGGAUUUACUGGGUGUAAAGGGAGCGUAGACGGUGUGGCAAGUCUGAUGUGAAAGGCAUGGGCUCAACCUGUGGACUGCAUUGGAAACUGUCAUACUUGAGUGCCGGAGGGGUAAGCGGAAUUCCUAGUGUAGCGGUGAAAUGCGUAGAUAUUAGGAGGAACACCAGUGGCGAAGGCGGCUUACUGGACGGUAACUGACGUUGAGGCUCGAAAGCGUGGGGAGCAAACAGGAUUAGAUACCCUGGUAGUCCACGCCGUAAAC